rnacentral:snRNA from 1 species
GAUAAAAUGCAUAUAUUGCUUGCUAAAACUGGAACGAUACAGAUGAGCUUAGCAUGGUACCUGCACAAGGAUGGCAUGCAAAUUCAUGAAGCAUUCCAUAUUUCA